rnacentral:rRNA from 1 species
ACUCUCGAUAACGGAUAUCUCGGCUCUUGCAUCGAUGAAGAACGUAGCAAAAUGCGAUACUUGGUGUGAAUUGCAGAAUCUCAUGAACCAUCGAGUCUUUGAACGCAAGUUGCGCCUAAAGCCAUUAGGUUGAAGGCACGUUUGUCUGGGCGUC